UAUGAGGUCUAAGAAGGACUUCUACAGGCAAAAAUGACAGCUGAAAGCCAAUGUCUCGCUGGCAGUACCUUCCCAGACCCUAGGUGUUGAUCCCGGGAAUGCUGGCUUGACAGGACCAGGACCCUGAAGACAGAUACACAGUGCGUUCCUACUUGUUUAACCUGAAUCAAAACCCUGCCAUUCUUAUUUUUUCCACUGCCCAAAAGUGAGGUUUAACUCUCUAGGGGAGAAAGGGUUCUCUAGGGGAGAAAGCCACACACACAUGCUCCGGCUCUGUUUGGCAAUACCCAGUCCCGGGUGCCUCGAGGAGGCACGCUGAAGCUUCUCUUACUGCAGUUGGUACCUUUCUAGGAAGCGCUGCUCUAAAGUGGUGAAGGGGACACAGAUGGAGGUGCGAUGGGCUCCAACCUGGAAGGCGACUUACAUGCUGGCAUUACCGUGUGGAGAUUCCCAGAGGCCGCACACUCAUCCUCCAGCGCUCUCUGCGUUGUUGCCCUCAAGCUCCACCGAAGAAGAUCCCGGCUUUCGGGACCGCGACCCGCAGGACCCUUCGUCACGCCCUUUCUCGAGAGUUCAUAGGGUUUCCCGGCAGCUGCUCGUCGCCUGCGCAAGGGGCGGCGCAAGGUGGACCCGGGGCGCGCGCCGUGGAGUUCAAGAUCAGGUCCGGCGCGCGGGGGAGCGGCUGACCGCGGCAGGUUCUGCCGCCCGGGCGAAGAACUUUCACAAGAGUUGGGACGAAGGGCUCCGGCGAGCGGGUGGCGUCCGAUCCCGGCCUGCGGGGCUUGGAGAGGCUGAGAUCACCAGGCUCCUGAGCCUGCGGCCAGUCGCGGCGCAGCGCUGGCGUCCGUUUCCCCCUGAGGCUCAGCCAAUCUUAUAGCUGGUGCAAACAAAAUGGAGGAAGAAGGAAGGACGGUAUGGUUGGAGAGGCAGUUUGUGAGAUCUGAGAGCGCUGAAUUGUUCCCAAGGAUUUUGAACCUGUUCUUCUGCUUCAGAAAGAGACCCA
rnacentral:lncRNA from 1 species